rnacentral:lncRNA from 1 species
AUCCUUGCUGAACUAUGAUACAUAAAAUAUAUUUGGCUUGGCCAUAUCGAAAAUAUCUAUCUAAGAUACUUGUUUUUGAAUAUUCUACAAAUUAAGUUAAAGGGGUAGAUAACAUUAUAGGGUAAUAAGGACAAGGUUGGCCACUCUUAUUAGGAUGUAUUGCAGAAGGUCCCUUUCUUGGAUGAUAUGGCAACAAGGACAGUGUGAUAUAGACCACUUUGGCAUCUACGAUUCCAUUAUCAGGCCGUUAUCAAGUCACCAAUUAUAUACUCUUCUAUAUAUAUAAAAAUCAUAUCAAGUUCUAAGGAGCUAAAAAAAACAUUUUUGUUGUCUAGGCUUUAUUUGGCAGGACACUUCUUCUCAAUGAAAUUUUCAAAGUCUCAGUUAUGCAAAAGGUGGUCAAGGCAAUUAAGGGAGCAGAAAACAAGAUUUUAUAUCAUGUGGAGGUGUAUGGUCAUUCUUCUAAUGUGGCAACAGUGACCUUGAUGAUACUUAAAGAGUAAGAAAUCAAGAGUGACCGACAAAAUCAAGAUAACUUCCUAGUAUGUUUGGAAUCACGUUGAAGAAUCGCCUUCAAGAAUGUUUUGACUCUCUCUAACGUGUAGCUUCUUUAUGAGAUGCUACACACUUUAUUUUAGUGGUAGACAGACAGGUAUGAAAAUCAUGGCUCUAGUUUGAUUUCUCUUUUUGUUUUUGUUUAGACACUUGAGUCUAACUUGUAAUUGUGAAUUUUGUUUUAUUCAAUGAGAAAACUUAUGAUCAUUGUCAACAUGUACGUAUUUGAGAAAAUCUAUGCAUAAUCCUUUUUCUUUUCUAAUCUUCUUUCUUGUU